GACAUACAACAGUAGGGAUUCGCAUGUGGUCACCCACCAUACUACUAACCUACCGGCGUGUGGCUUAAGUACGGCUGAGCGGACGGGAAGCCCUGUUCUCCACACCCUAUGGUCGUAUGU
rnacentral:rRNA from 1 species